rnacentral:rRNA from 1 species
UACACUCCUGCGGGAGGCAGCAGUGGGGAAUUUUGGACAAUGGGCGAAAGCCUGAUCCAGCCAUGCCGCGUGCAGGAUGAAGGCCUUCGGGUUGUAAACUGCUUUUGUACGGAACGAAACGGCCUUUUCUAAUAAAGAGGGCUAAUGACGGUACCGUAAGAAUAAGCACCGGCUAACUACGUGCCAGCAGCCGCGGUAAUACGUAGGGUGCAAGCGUUAAUCGGAAUUACUGGGCGUAAAGCGUGCGCAGGCGGUUAUGUAAGACAGUUGUGAAAUCCCCGGGCUCAACCUGGGAACUGCAUCUGUGACUGCAUAGCUAGAGUACGGUAGAGGGGGAUGGAAUUCCGCGUGUAGCAGUGAAAUGCGUAGAUAUGCGGAGGAACACCGAUGGCGAAGGCAAUCCCCUGGACCUGUACUGACGCUCAUGCACGAAAGCGUGGGGAGCAAACAGGAUUAGAUACCCCUGUAGUCCCA